UACGGAGGAUGCGAGCGUUAUCCGGAUUUAUUGGGUUUAAAGGGUGCGCAGGCGGCACGGCAAGCCGGCGGUCAAAUCGCGGGGCUCAACCCCGCCCAGCCGUCGGAACUGCCGGGCUAGAGUGGGCGAGAAGUGCGCGGAAUGCGUGGUGUAGCGGUGAAAUGCAUAGAUAUCACGCAGAACUCCGAUUGCGAAGGCAGCGCACCGGCGCCCUACUGACGCUCAGGAACGAAAGCGUGGGUAUCGAACAGG
rnacentral:rRNA from 1 species